UAUGUACUCCCUCCGUCCGAAAAUACUUGUCAUCAAAAUGGAUAAAAAGAGAUGUAUCUAGAACUAAAAUACGUCUAGAUACAUCCCCUUUUAUCCAUUUUGAUGACAAGUAUUUCCGGACGGAGGGAGUACUAG
rnacentral:pre_miRNA from 1 species